UCCUCAAUUCACAAGAGUUGUGAAUGGUUUUUCGAAAUUGUGGCAGAAAAGUUCUUGCCACAUUUCGAGGGGGAGAAAGAAAUAUGAGAUAUCCAUUAAUGAAGAAUGUGAUCAUCUGGGGGAGUACGACGAUCAUAAUAAUACCCCUAAAGAAAAGAAAUAGCUGUAUUCCUGGAUCUUUUACAGUUCCAAAAGCAGACUAAGGAAUACUAAGACGGUGCUUAAAGUGCCAUAAAGAAGAAAGUUUUAACAGAAUAAACCCAAAUAAUAAAGUUUAAAGAUACGCCAUUUUUAGUGAAGAUGGAGUAAUCUGGGGGAGCAUGUUGUAUGACCUAUACAACACCUGAUGUUAGAUCUAUAAAGGAUGAAUGAGUACACAUGGAUCUUGUGACACAGGUCCCUGUAAAACCUAUUGCCUCUUGGAAAUAAAAGACUAUAGAAUUAAUUUGCCUCUUGGCAAUCACAGAGCAACAACAACCCCAUAUGAAAGAAGUGCCAGUACCUGAGACACAGAUGGUCUCAAGGAAUGAGAAAAUCAGAUACUUCUGAUUACUAUAAAGUCUAUGUUAGUGAAAAUCAAAUCGAGGUUGAUCCCACCUCAUUUAAAGCGCUCAAUCGAGCUUAGAGAAGUGUCUAUUUGUCCAAAUGAUAAGAGACUAUGUGAGAUGAAAUAAAAUUGGUGAAUCCUGACAAUGUUUGGGACUCAUAAGUAGUUUCCAAUAGAGCAUAAACAGUAGGCUGUAAAAGGUCUACAAGGUCAAUGUGACUCCAAAGAAAAUAUGUAAAGGUGUAAAGCGCGACUUGAAUCGAAAGAUUUUGUGCAAAGAGAAUGAACAAAUUACAAUGAGUGUUAGUGGCACAUCAUGACCGACAUCAUGAUCUGAGUUACAUCAGAUGAAUGUAUAGAACACAAGGGAUACUGCUUCAAGAAGUUUUUUAUGGACUAGAGCAAGUCUCUAGACAGUUGCAUUUAAAGUUUAAACAAUCAGAUGAUAUUUUGGGUUAAAGAAAAUGGAAGGACAAUUGUAUUCAUGCAAAGUUAUAGAAUGGAAAAUUCAUUUCCCAAUCCUGUGCAUGUAGAUGACGUCCUACUUGCUAGUGGUGAUGUCAAUCUACUUCAGGAGGAGAAAAGAAGUUCUUGUCCUCAAAGUUCAAAAUUGCAUUUCUCAGAGUGUCUCUCGUUAUAAAUAUCGAGAUUCACCAAGAAAAGAAUAAAAUGGGGUAUUAGGAAUGUCGCAUGGACAUGCUAACAAAGGUCUCUAAAGUAGGCAUGCGAGAAAACCUACGCCUGUUCUUAUAGUCAAGGGUAAUUGAACUGGAAACUAUGGUGUUCCAAAAGUUGAUGAGAAAAGAUUGAAAACGGAUAUGGUACCAUAUGCUUCAGCUGUUGGAAGCUCAAUAUAUUACCCUGACACAGUUCACGUAUCCGGGUUGUUUUGGCAAUGUCCAGUCCAUAUAUAGAUCACUGGAAUGGAGUCAAAGAUAUCGGCAUCAUGCUGAAAGAAAUAAGUGCUCUCAAAAGAUUGUGAGUACAAAGACAGGACUUGUGAAAUGUAUAGCGAAAUCCACAAUUGUCGCUAACUUUCAUACUUGGAGGUUUUUGUGUGGAAAAGCUCCAAAGAAUGAAAUUAUCAUCAGUGUGAUGCAAAGAUAUUUUAUAGCUUAAUAUGAGGCUGAGGGACAGGCAAAAUGGUUAAGGAGACCUGUACCCGGAGUUAAUAAUGGUUGACAACAGCGAUAACCAUUUUAAGUUUUUCGCUCCUAUGACAACGAGUCAAGUGUUGAUGCCAAACACACUGACACAGAGUUAUGCGUUGUAAAGGAGAAAGUCUGGAAUUAUGUAGAAAUGCUUGAAGCAUAAAAGCAACAGACAAGUGUUUGCAGAUCUGCUUAUUAAAGGCUUACCGCCCAGUGUGUUCGAAGAACACACAGUCGACAUGGGUUUUAUGGUAUAGUCUAAGAUUUCCGGACAAUAAAAGGGCCCAAGGUUAAAGAAUUUGUUUCAAAACAGAGUGGUACGUUGUGGCUGUCUGAUUCUAUCGGCAAUUGAGCUGUGACGAUGAAACAUAUUCUAUGUAUUGAUCUGUUAUGAAACGAGUAAAGUAAAAGUAUAAGGUCAAAAAGUUGAGAUCAAGGAGGAGAAUGUUAGGAUGAUCUCCACCGUGUGGGCCCAACGGCCCACCGGGCCCUUAGAUCUGCGCCCUGAUCGGGGGCGCUCAACCCACUAUGGUUGACGGGCCCCUGUCACCUGCACUAUAUAAAGAGGUGGGGGCUGGCGGCUCGCAUCACGAGGUUCGUCGCGAUGCCGUACACCCCACCUACAUCCCUACCGAUCUAGGGUUAGUGCAGUGCUGAUGGGAAGCGCCGCCACCACUUCGCCCAUGAUCUGCCAUCACCACCGCCGCCAUCCACCAUGGCCACCCCAUCGAGUUCAUCCGGCCAGGUAGAAGGUAAGAACUACCGGAAUAUCUAGCCUAUCCGAUCCCGACGGAUCUAACAGGGUAUGCUAGAGUCCGGUUCGUCUGUCGCCUCCGAGAGUCUUGGUCCAUCCUGUAGGUGGUAUAAGGAUGGAGAGGGGUCUGCUCUAGGGAUGGGAAGGUGUGUUGUGGCGCUACAGCUUGUGCUCUGCAUCUUAGGGGAUGCAUAGAGGUUGACGCUGGGUGCAGGGAGCGUGUUGUGCUAUGCCCUGUGGUUCAGACAAGUUAUCUCUCUCUCUCUCUCUCUCUCUCUGUGUGUGUGUGUGUGUUAAAUUCCUCCCUUGCUAAUAUCUCUUCCUGUACACAGAUGGAAACCAAAAUAUCAAGGCUGUAAUAUGUACAAGCAUGAGAACUCUCUCUGUCAUAGUAUUAGUGUGGAUUUAUACCUUUUACAAUGAGACAUUAAUGCAUUCUGCAAUGUUCCCUUCUGUAAAUAAAUGAACUAUGCAUUCUGUAACAUUCCCUUCUAUUAAAUAAAUGAACUAUACAUUCUGUUAAAUCAUGAAUUGUAACCAUGACCACCUCUCAUGAGAAUCUCAAAGGAUUUUUCUCGAAUACUUAUCAGAAGGAUGAUCACCGUUGCCUUAUGUUUGCUUCAUUUUGGCUCCCUAUGACUACUAACCGUGGUCACGUUAUUCCUACAUAAUAUGAUAUUGGCGAUGGCAACUGUUGUCUUGCUUAUGAAGCUUAAGUUUUAUCAGGUUUGGGUAAGGAUCUGGAGGUGGAGAGCAGUAUCGACGACAAUGAUAUAGUUUCAACAAGCUAUCGGGCGUUGGCACAAGAUGGACGUGCCUCACGCAAUUCAGACGGCUCUUACAAUCCCAAGUUUUUUCUUGAUAUCCUCUUACGACCCCAAGUUAGAUGCGAACUGUCGUUGAGGGGGGGAAACAAGGAUGGUGUCAUUCACGUACGAACAGAUGCUAGGGAAGUGGCCGGUCGGGGACAUCACCUUCGGGGUCAGCCACUACAUGCGCCUCUGGAUGAUCACUAGACCCAAAAUAUUUUGAUCUACUGGAAUGGUCGCAUUGCCAUUUGUGCUUGCCCAUCAUAAAGUUUCUCCACUCGUGCAAGAGAAUAACUUGGAUCACUAAGGAUAAGAUGCUCUGUGGUAAACUUCUCCUAUGUUCUGCACCAAGGAGAUGAUUUUUCUUGCGACAUCAACUGCGUUUGUACCGACAACUGAAAGCUCGUUGCUUGGCCGAUCUUACAAUUGAGGUACAAUCUUAUCUCCACAUUUUUAUUAUUAAUUGAAAGCUACAUGACAUCCAUGAACAUAUGCACUUACAGUAGAUUUGUGGUUGCCAUUAAAGCUAAACUUUACAUUUAACUUGCAUAUGCCAUCUUAUUUAUGAUCCGAGUAUCCGUUCUCACUGCUCCGUGACAAUUUCAACUUCGUAUUCUUUACACUGUAGGUGGAUAUUUGAUCUUAUUUGGUUGUCUAUGCUAGAAGAAAAAUAGAAACAACAAAAAUGAUAUUAUUUUACCGUUUCAGUCUUUUAUGUACGUUAAUAAUUUCUUUUAACGUAUUCUGUUUUAUUAGUGGUCACAUCCAAAGUUACAUGGUCCCUCUCUACUUUGAGGGUGCCAUUUCAGCUUUUACGUACAAACAAAAAUCUAAAAAUAUUGAGAGACGAAGAAAGAAAUCAUGUCCCAGUCGGGAAGGCAUAAUACUAUCAUCGUGUCGUGCACAAGCAGGGGUGGAGAGCAGAGGCUUGUUGUCUAAAACAGUGCAAGCAGUGUAUGACCAUUGAAAAAUAUGUCAGUGAUACGUAUACAAGUUUCAACAAAAACAAGCUAAUUCACCCAUUAGGAGUCACCUCAGCUUGAGAAUCUUUUGGAUACCAAGGAGAAAGUCAAAGCCGGGAGAAAAUUCGAAUCUCUACUCCUAAUGGAGCAAUUCAUACUUCGUUUCGUUCGUUCGUUACUUCUCUCCCAUCGAUCGAAAAAACAACUGAGAGCUUGUUGCUUGGCCGAUCUUACAAUUGGAGGUACAAUCUUAUCUCCAUAUUUUUGUUAUUAGUUGAAAGCUACAUAACAUCAAUGAACAGAUGCACUCACAGUAGAUUUGUGGUUGCCAUUAAAGCUAAACUUUACAUAUAACUGGCAUAUGUCAUCUUACUUAUGAUCUGAGUAUCGGUUCUCACUGCUCCGUGACAACUUCAACUUCGUAUUCUUUACACUGUAGGUGGAUAUUUGAUCUUAUUUGGUUGUCUAUGCUAGAAGAAAAGUAGAAACAACAAAAAUGAUAUUAUUUUACCGUUUCAGUCUUUUAUGUAUGUUAAUAUAUUCUUUUAACAUAUUCUGUUUUAUUAGUGGUCACAUCCAAAGUUACAUGGUCCUUCUCUACUUUGAGGGUGCCAUUUCAGCUUUUACGUACAAACAAAAAUCUAAAAACAUUGAGAGACGAAGAAAGAAAUCAUGUCCCAGUUGGGAAGGCAUAAUACUAUCAUCUUAUCAUGCACAAGCAGGGGUGGAGAGCAGAGGCUUGUUGUCUAAAACAGUGCAAGCAGUGUAUGACCAUUGAAAAAUAUGUCAGUGAUACACAUACAAGAUUCAACAAAAACAAGCUAAUUCACCCAUUAGGAGUCACCUCAGCUUGAGAAUCUUUCGGAUACCAAGGAGAAAGUCAAAGCCAGGAGAAAAGGAGCCCUCCACCGAAUAAGAUCAUACCUCAGCUUGCAUCUGAACAAACUUAUUUGCCACCUCAGCUUGAGAAUCUUUUGGAUACCAAGGAGAAAGUCGAAGCUGGGAGAAAAGGAGCCCUCCAUUUAAUA